rnacentral:rRNA from 1 species
AUUGAACGCUGGCGGCAGGCCUAACACAUGCAAGUCGAACGAGUGGCGGACGGGUGAGUAAUGUCUGGGAAACUGCCCGAUGGAGGGGGAUAACUACUGGAAACGGUAGCUAAUACCGCAUACCAUCGGAUGUGCCCAGAUGGGAUUAGCUAGUAGGUGGGGUAAAGGCUCACCUAGGCGACGAUCCCUAGCUGGUCUGAGAGGAUGACCGGCCACACUGGAACUGGAACCCGGUCCAGACUCCUACGGGAGGCGGCAGUGGGGAAUAUUGCACAAUGAGCGAAAGCCUGAUGCAGCCCUGCCGCGUGUAUGAGGAAGCCCUUCGGGUUGUAAAGUACUUUAAGCGGGGCGGCGUUACCCGCAGAAGAAGCACCGGCUAACUCCGUGCCAGCAGCCGCGGUAAUUC